GGCUGGUCCCAUAUAGUGGUGUUUACAACGAAUUUAUCAUAACUAGUUACAGAUUUCUUUGUUUCUUCUCCACUCCCACUGCUUCAUUUGACCAGCCUUAA
ensembl:misc_RNA Y_RNA Y RNA